rnacentral:rRNA from 1 species
UACAGAGGUCCCAAGCGUUGUUCGGAUUCAUUGGGCGUAAAGGGUGCGUAGGUGGCGUCGUAAGUCGGGUGUGAAAUCUCGGGGCUUAACUCCGAAACUGCAUUCGAUACUGCGGUGCUUGAGGACUGGAGAGGAGACUGGAAUUUACGGUGUAGCAGUGAAAUGCGUAGAGAUCGUAAGGAACACCAGUGGCGAAGGCGGGUCUCUGGACAGUUCCUGACACUGAGGCACGAAGGCCAGGGGAGCAAACGGG